GAGAGAGCAAGCUCCGUCGAUAGGUCUACCAGCAACAGCCCUGCUGCAGCAAGAGGGGAGAGAAGCAGCCGGAGAGGGAGAGAGGGCUCAAGAAAGAGAAGUAAUACCAACACCAGGGACGGAGCUCCUGACACCAGACAGUGUCAUUUAGAGAACAUAUCUGGGCUCGGUUGGCGUAGGAGGCUUCGCCCGUUGACGAUGCUGGAGACCCGGCGCGCUUAAUCCCGCGGGGAGGGAGAGUGGGCAGACACCGAAAGGGUUAACGGAAAGGAAAAUUCUGGAACCUUCUAUUCUGCGGCGCUACACAGCAAGCAGAGGGCUGAACGCUGCGCAGCUGGUGCACGGGCAGAGCUCCUCGGUCCGGUUCGUCUUUCCCACGUCACCACUUGCACUGUCACACCCCUCUGUCCUGCACCUGGCCUGGUCUGACUCAUCACUUGACUGGGGGGUGCCUCUCUGCCUCAGCUCUGCAUGUGGAACAGGAAUAUUUCCUGCAGGGGAGACCAGAAAUUGAUGAUCCAAGAAUUUAAUUCUGGCAUUUCAAAAUGGGGGGGAGGGGGAUGUAAGAUGCUUACUGCAGAAUCCCCAGAAACUGCCCUUAUAUAUAAGCAGUUGUGAGAAAUCAGGUCUGCAACACUUUGACUUGCCAUGUUCCUGCAGACUACAUUAAAGGUCCUUGGCUAGGGAGGAGGUUCCCUUUCACGGGGCAGGCUGGGAUUUCUUCCCUUUUUUGCCUUGUCUUGUCUAGAGGAUAUAAAGCAGCAUGGAGUCCUGAAAGGCUUAGAGAGUUUCCUCUGAAGGAAGCUAUAGCACACUGCUGCUGCUGCUAAAAUAUGCCAGAAAAGGAGGAAAAAACAUAACAAUAACACUGUACUUUCUCUGCUAUUACUUAGAAAAACUCUAGAAUACUUUGACAAAGCCAACUCUAGCUGGCUGUAUUUGCUUGUCUCUGCACGUGUCCCCAUACAUACACAUCCAAUACACACCCAGCAAAUGCUCGAGACAAGCACUGGUUUUGCAUACAUGCACACUGUGCAUACCACAUGGUCCUGAGCUGCUUUCUUUUUCUCCUUCCUGCUGCACACUGCCUGCCCCAGCACGCUGUUGGGUUUGGAAAUAAGAGAACACACUGUCACUGAUGGAUCCCUCCUGUAAGGUGUAUCUGCAGCUCGGCAGCAAGGGCUGACACCUCCCAGCUGCGUGCAGAGAAGGGGAGCUUGGUAAGGCCCAGGGGGAUCUGCAGGUGACCUGCAGGAGGGACAGCAUCAUAUUAAUCAUGCCGAAAGGAAAUUUGUUUUUAAUCAAACUAUAAAUAAUGAGUGAGCCAUUGGUCUUUAACUGCUGCAUGCUAUUUCUGGAAGGUUUGGCUGCUAUGGGAGGGGCAAAGGGGAAGGGGACAGAGGCACUCACCACCUCCGUAUGCCUCACAUCCCCAAGGCCACUCUCACUUACAGUAGCACAAACAUAAGUGAAAUUUCCAGCAACUUUCAGAAACCUUACUAAAGCUUCCUUCCUCCUCUUAAGGCACGUGCUCAAUAUUGAGAAAAACAAAACCAACCACAAAGUGACCCUCACUUUGAGCCUGUGUCCAAAGGAUGCUACGGUGGUCCUUGCAGUGCCACAGCUGACCUCUGGCAGCUGUACCUCGCAGCCCAGCUUCUCAGUAGUAAACCUUUAUGCUGAUAAUAUAGGAUGCCUCAUAAAUAACUGUGCCAGCAAGAUGGACACUGGGGAGGGAACCUGCUUUCCACUUUUCUCUCACCCUGCUGCCCCAGUUAAUGGAUUUAGAAACUACAGUAAAUAUCCAGACUGUAAUCUAGUACAGCUCCUUCCCCUUCCUCCACCCCCCCCUCCCUUUCUUGGAAGGACAUGCUUUUUAACUUGAGCUUUCCUCUGCUAUCUGUGGGUGUGCAUUAGAAAAUGCAGACGCUGAAGCAGAUUCUUGGUGUGGUUACAAAACUGACGCUAAGAGUUGCCAAAACCCUGGGGUAUCAAUAAGUAAAACUCGCAACUCCGCUUCUGCUGACCUCAGCCCCACCUCACACCAGCUUCUGCAUGAGCACAGGUUAGAGACAGCGGCCAGGGUCUGACAGCUUGCAAAUUGCACGUGUGUAGUGGUUGGCAGGCCUGCAGCCAGCCAUCUCUUCCCACACGUUUGCUGCAGGGUAAGCACCACGGCUGCACCUCGGCGCUGUUCACACCCGCCCCAUUCCCAAUAGCCGUCAGCCGCUCAUUUUCACGCUCUCCCACCUCCCCAGCAACUUUUGUUGAACCAUUUACAGUUAUAUUUUCAAACGCUCCCUUUUUAGGUUUCAUUCUGGCCCACAACUCAAAGUCAUUUCCACAUAAUUUAUUCUCGUCAUAAGUUCCUUUUUGCUGACAGGAUUUCAGUCUCCUCACAAAGCCCUGCCCUCUCUGCUUUUUAAGAGGAACCUACUUACAAGCCACGUGAGACAGCUGACCACAUCCCAUCAGGACAGUCACAUUUCCCUCUCCUGUCACCAAGGGCAUCCAACUCCUGUACGUCCACCUGUCCUGUGUUGACACUGGGAUCAGUCCGUGAUGGAAAGUCACAACACUGCCUUAGGGCAUGGGAUAUACACUGACUGUAUCUGAAUGGGAUGCUAGAUUGCUUCUGGAUGGCACAAACUUCUCUCUUCCCUCCUCCAAAAUCAGCACCACCAAAGUCAGAUGUUUUUCACCACCUGCUGGUAAGAGCUUCACUACUCUACCUGGAGAGCAAAGGAAACAUCAGUCCCUGCUGAGCAGUGGGCUUCUACAGCACGCAUCUCAUUUCUCCUACAGGAGCCUCAGCUGUCCAUCAGAUGCCCCAAAACACAUCAAUAAAAUAACUAACCCGACGGUCACCAUCUCACUUUCUAAUAACAUCAAAUAAAUCGAUUUUUCUCCA